UACAGAGGGUGCAAGCGUUGUUCGGAAUUACUGGGCGUAAAGGGCGCGUAGGCGGCUUUAUAAGUCGGGGGUGAAAGCCUGUGGCUCAACCACAGAAUUGCCUUCGAUACUGUAGAGCUUGAGACCGGAAGAGGUAAGUGGAACUGCGAGUGUAGAGGUGAAAUUCGUAGAUAUUCGCAAGAACACCAGUGGCGAAGGCAGCACUCUGGGACGUGACUGACGCUGAGACGCGAAAGCGUGGGGAGCAAACAGG
rnacentral:rRNA from 1 species